GCGAGCGUGGCGGAACUGGCAGACGCGCCAGGUUUAGGUCCUGGUGGGCUAACGCCCGUAGGGGUUCAAAUCCUCUCGCUCGCA
rnacentral:tRNA from 1 species